UGGGCCGAGGCGCACCGGGGCCUCUGUGGACAUCUUACCGGACAGUGCUGGAUUUCUCGGCUCGACUCUAACACUGUCUGGUAACGAUGUUCAAAGGUGACCCACCACCCGCCGGGAAGUG
rnacentral:precursor_RNA from 8 species